CAGUAGCCGCGGUAAUACGGAGGGUGCAAGCGUUAAUCGGAAUUACUGGGCGUAAAGCUCACGCAGGCGGUCUGACAAGUCAGAUGUGAAAUCCCCGGGCUUAACCUGGGAACUGCAUUUGAAACUGUCAGGCUGGAGUCUUGUAGAGGGGGGUAGAAUUCCAGGUGUAGCGGUGAAAUGCGUAGAGAUCUGGAGGAAUACCGGUGGCGAAGGCGGCCCCCUGGACAAAGACUGACGCUCAGGUGCGAAAGCGUGGGGAGCAAACAGGAUUAGAUACCCGGGUAGUCCCUGUCUCUUAUAC
rnacentral:rRNA from 1 species